AAACCGUAGGUUCAUAGUCCUCUUUACUUUUGUUUAUUCAGGGGCCCUCUUGUUAUUGUAAAUUAAAUUAAAUAUUUUGGCUUACUGUAUUUAAGUAUGUAUAAAUUUAUUUAACUUUUACGUUAUAAAAAUUAUUCACGUAUAACUCUAUAAAUAUUGUUUUAUAAGAAAAUAGAAUAUUUUACUUAAUAUUUCUUUUAUUUUCUUAU
rnacentral:lncRNA from 1 species